rnacentral:rRNA from 1 species
UACGGAGGGUGCAAACGUUGCUCGGAAUUAUUGGGCGUAAAGCGCACGUAGGCGGCUCAGCAAGUCGGGUGUGAAAGCCCUCGGCUUAACCGAGGAAGUGCAUUCGAAACUACUGGGCUUGAGUACUGGAGGGGGUCGCGGAAUUCCCGGUGUAGAGGUGAAAUUCGUAGAUAUCGGGAGGAACACCAGUGGCGAAGGCGGCGACCUGGACAGAUACUGACGCUGAGGUGCGAAAGCGUGGGGAGCAAAC